AGCGAACGCUGGCGGCAGGCCUAACACAUGCAAGUCGAACGAACCUUUCGGGGUUAGUGGCGGACGGGUGUGUAACACGUGGGAACGUGCCUUUAUGUUCGGAAUAACUCAGGGAAACUUGUGCUAAUACCGAAUGUGCCCUUCGGGGGAAAGAUUUAUCGCAUUUAGAGCGGCCCGCGUCUGAUUAGCUAGUUGGUUGAGGUAAUGGCUCACCAAGGCGACGAUCAGUAGCUGGUCUGAGAGGAUGAUCAGCCACAUUGGGGCUGAGACACGGCCCAGACUCCUACGGGAGGCAGCAGUGGGGAAUCUUGCGCAAUGGGCGAAAGCCUGACGCAGCCAUGCCGCGUGAAUGAUGAAGGUCUUAGGAUUGUAAAAUGCUUUCACCGGGGACGAUAAUGACGGUACCCGGAGAAGAAGCCCCGGCUAACUUCGUG
rnacentral:rRNA from 1 species